rnacentral:lncRNA from 1 species
CCUAGAAUCGUGAAGGAAGCGUUCUACCUCGUUUCUUCGGGAAGGCCUGGUCCGGUUCUGAUCGAUAUUCCCAAGGACGUUUAGCAAGAGCUCGUAAUCCCGGAUUGGGAUAUACAAGUUAGCUGCACGCUUCCUGUCUAUAACUCGCCUAAGUUAUCAAAAAUGGGAGUCCUUGAGCAUGUUUUGAGGCUGAUAUCCGAAUCGAAGAGGCUGAUUCUCUACGUAGGCGGCGUAUCGUUGGAUUCCAGCAAGGAAUUGAAGAGAUUCGUUUAGUAACGGGGAUUCGUGUAGCGAGUACACUCAUGGGGUUAGGGAGUUUCCCUUGUGAUCAUGACCUUUCCCUUCAUAUGUUGGGAAUGCAUGAGACUAUGUAUGCCAAUUACGGUAUCGACAACGCUGAUUUGCUUCUUGCUUUCGGUGUUCGUUGAAGCAAUUUCUGGAUCACCCUCUGAAUUCAGUGUGUGAUGAGUAAGCUUGCCAGGGUAAUCCCUUCCAAAUGGGAAAUAAAUAUUAAUAGUGGGCAGUGGGCCGGGCCAACUGUACAGUGGUACACACUUGUUGACUAAUCCCACAUGGUCUUCUCCUCUGUCUAUCUUCUUCCAUCUCACCGACAAAAAAAAUUAUAAAGAACAAAUUGUCUUCUUUUCCAUAAAUGGAAACAAACAAUUCAAACAAAAUCCGAUCCCGCCCCUGCUAUAAAAGAAAGCCGAUCACAAGCUUAGUUCAUCAAUCCGAUUCUCAACAAUGGCGAAAAUCUCCACCUUCCUCCUCUGCCUCUGCCUUACGAUCACCCAAUCCCCCGCCCACUCCAUCGGAGUAAACUACGGCACCAACGCCGACAACCUCCCACCCCACGCCAAAGUAGCCACCUUUCUAAAAUCCCACACUAUCAUCGACCGAGUCAAAAUCAACGACACCAAUCCAGACAUCCUCCGCGGAUUCGCCAACACAGGGAUCUCCGUCGCCGUCGCAAUUCCCAGAGAAGAAAUCCCAUCCCUCGCCAAUCUCCCCGCCGCCAAAUCAUGGGUCGCCAAGCACAUCACCCCAUUCUACCCCAAAACCAAAUUCAACUACAUCCUCGUCGGAAACGAGGUCUUCUUCUGGAACGAAACUAACGUCAUCAGGAAACUCGUCCCUGCAAUGAAGGCCCUGACCAAGGCACUGGAGCUGGCGAAUCUAGCGGCCCACAUCAAGGUCUCCUCCCUUCAUGGGCUUCAAUUCAUCGAGCCCACCCAGCCGCCAAGCUCGGCCCAGUUUCAGAACUACGCGAGCCCUGUUCUCCGCAAGGCGUUGGAAUUCCACCUCCGUACGGGACUCCGUUCCUGGUGAAACUGUACCCGUUCUUCAAGGUAUGGGACGGGUACCCGGAUCCGGAUUACGCGCUCUUUAAGGCGAAAAGGGGAGUGGUCGACAAGGGUACCGGGAAGGUGUAUACGAACAUGCUGGACGAGAUGCUGGAUGCGGUUUAUGUUUCGAUGAAGAAACUGGACGGGAGAUUUAAGGAUGUGGAGAUUGUGAUUGGGGAGACGGGGUGGCCGACGGUGGGUGAACCGACCCAGCCAGGUACCGGGCUGGAAAAUGCCCGUGAGUACAACCGAAACGUUGUGAGGCACGUGAGAUCCGGAAAGGGGACUCCGUUAAUGCCGAAUCGGACUUUCGAGACUUACAUCUUCUCCCUGUUUGACGAGAACCUCGAGAUUUAUGCUUCCGACCGGAGUUUCGGUGUUUUCAAGCCGGAUUUCUCCGCCGUUUACGACGCCGGGCUCAUCCGUAGCAAGCCGAUAUAAUUAUUUGCUAUGCCUUCCGUCUUUAAUUUGUAAAUAAACUUGUCCCUACGAUGUCGCUUUACAGUUCGUUUCCCGCUCUCGUUUGGAGGAAAUUUUAAACGCCGAAAAGAGUGGCUUGGGCCUGAUUCAGUUGGUUUUCCACUUCCAUUACAAAAUUCCAAGAGUCAAAGUUUACCAUUGCCAGAAAUUUCUUACAAGAUUACAAUGGAAUGUUGAGAUCAAGAAAAAUUGAUGGUUUAGAAAGGUAAAGUAUUUGCGUGACAUUGGCAGGUAACUCAUCAUCUAACACAUCCAUUAAUUGGAUUAACUAAACAACUCAUCGUCAUCUCCGAUAUUCAUUUUCGAGUAGAUUGGAUUACGACGGAUGAGUUUUGCGGCUCUCCUACGAAACAGAGCCGGAAAAAAAACAGGCCCAUCAAGCCUCUUCUCCUCCUCGGGCCGUGGGUUUUGAGUCAAGACCAAACUCGGGCCCAAGAAAGUACGUCGGUUCAAGCAUCUCAACUAUUUCAUGAUUAACAGUCCCAUGCAUGCAAAGUUGGAAAUUUCGUAAUUGAGAUGCUGGGUUAAAAAAUAAUAAUUUUUAAUUAAAUAUUAGAAAGACAAAUAGUCUAAACCUAAAGUAAAAGUGCAUAGGUCAUCGGUUUAUAUUUCCCGAGGAAGUUGAAGACAACGAGUCCGACGUAAAACACAACUGAGAAUUGCGUUGCCACGAUGUCAAACCUCGAAAGGUACAAUUUUGGCAUCUUUUCCACGUUUCGAUAUUAAAAUUAGUUUAAUGGUUGUUAAGGGACAGGCCCAUUAUUCACAUUUCAUUUACUGUUUAGUUAAAAUAACCUCUUAGUAUAUGAUUAAUUGGUAGAAUUUAACAUUAAUGAAAGCGCAAUGUGAGUGCUUAAAUAUCUGACACGUGUAGGAAUCCCAUUAAACUUGGAAAAUAAAAUAAACAAAUACAUAGUACCGACAUGUUUUAGUUUCACCUACCAUUCUGCCAAAACUGUCAGAAAGAUUUAAGCACGUUCGGAAAUGUUUCCUACCUACAAACUGAAACUUGUCAGCAAUUGUACCACGUUAGGAAUAUGCUUCUUCUCAAUUGUAAUAAUUCUUUGUUGAAGCUAUGAAGAUCACCACACUUUGCAUAUGCUCCAAAGUGUGUAUGUUGGUGACCUUUCCACUUAAACCUACAUACCUAAUCAUCUGUGCAUUUAAACCAUGUUUUUGGAUAGGGUUUUCAAUUCAUUAUUUAGUAACUUUACAUCGUAUUAUAUAUUAGUUUAAGAGUUUCGAACAUUAUCUAAUUAUAUUGAUCCACAACUUACAUAUAUGACUUAUUAGACUAUCCUAAAUAUGCAGUCUUUAGACAAUGUGUAGUCGUGAUGCAGUUAAACCUAUCUAAUCAUCUUUGCACUUAAACUAUAUUUUAUGUAGAUGCUUAAUUCACAUGUAUUUUUACAUAAUAGAAGUUAUAAAUUUUGAGUCCAACUCGGGAGGAAGGUUCCGAACUGGGCCAAGCAAAAAAUCCAGUUCAUAGUUUGGUUCCUCAACCCGGGGAUAAAAUAAAGGUGGAUGUUAGGAGCUGCUAACAAGUUAGCUUUAAUGCAAGCUACAAGAUUGUUACAUUAUCAGGUGUAUGAGAAUGAUGAAGAGAUGAUAUUUGAAACAAUCUCUUGAAUAUUGACGCUACGACUAUGUCGUACCGUAUAGAUCAAAGAUUCAAGAAUAGUGCGAGCUUCAAACAUCACAAGAGAAGAGCAGGAGAAAGUUUAUACAUUAUCGUCAAUGACUAAUCUGGCGAAAUUAUGAAUUACGAUUCCCUUCUUAAUUAAUCUAGUAGCAUUGAUCCAAAAAAAUCAUUUAGUAACUUUAAAUCAUGUUAUUUUGGUUUCAAAACUUUCAAAUAUUAUGUAGUUGGUCCGCAACUUACAAAUAGGCAGUUGGACCAAUUAUGCAACAUUUUGAAAUUUCGGAAUCCAUGGUUAAAUCCAACGAAAUUUAAGGGGCUUAUUUAGUAAUUGACCCUUAUUAUAUAUUUCACUAACACUCUCCCCUUAAAGGAAACUCCAAACUAAACAGCCACUUCAUCACUGAGUCACUCUCCUUGUUGACUCGUUUCUUCUCCACUUCCACUUCGCGCCCACACAAAAUCAACUCGUUUGACAAUGGCGACUGUCCCUUCCACUACUGCUGUUCCGAAUCGCUCCUUCUUCUCCAAACAGACCUCCCCCGACAACCUCCUCCUUCUCCGCCGCCGUAACCUCUGCCUCUCCCCAGCCGCCGUCUCCUCCUCCGGCCCCCUCCACCACCAUCACAACAACAAAUCCCCAAUUCCACCUUCCGCCACCGCCACCACCGCCAUUACCAUUUCCACCACUGCUCCUUCCGUUGCUCCCUCCGACACCACCACCACCUACCAUUCCCGCUUCGCCACCGACCGGCCAAGAAAGGGCGCGGACGUCCUCGUCGAAGCCCUAGAACGCGAGGGCGUCAACCACGUCUUUGCCUACCCAGGUGGUGCUUCGUUAGAGAUCCACCAGGCGCUCACUCGCUCCAAAACCAUCAAGAACAUCCUCCCCCGCCACGAGCAAGGCGGAGUGUUCGCCGCCGAGGGCUACGCACGCUCCUCCGGGCGUGUCGGCGUCUGCAUCGCCACCUCCGGCCCCGGAGCCACCAAUCUUGUCAGCGGCCUCGCCGACGCCAUGCUCGACAGCAUCCCUAUCGUCGCCAUCACAGGACAGGUCCCCCGCCGGAUGAUUGGGACAGACGCUUUCCAGGAAACUCCGAUCGUGGAGGUGACGAAAUCGAUCACCAAGCACAAUUACCUCGUCGACGACGUGGAGGAAAUCCCUUGAAUCGUGAAGGAAGCGUUCUACAUUGCUUCAUCGGGGAGACCCGGUCCGGUUCUGAUCGACAUUCCGAAGGACGUCCAGCAGCAGCUUCUAACCCCUAAUUGGAAUCUACAAGUUAAACUCCCUGGCUAUUCAGCUAGGUUACCGAAAACGCCGAAAAUCGAACAGCUGAAGCAGAUCUUGAGGCUGAUCUCCCAAUCGAAGAGGCCGAUUCUCUACGUAGGCGGCGGAUCGUUGAAUUGCAGCGAGGAAUUGAAGAAAUUCGUCGAGAUUACGGGGAUUCCUGUAGCGAG